UACGGAGGGUGCAAGCGUUAAUCGGAAUUACUGGGCGUAAAGCGCACGCAGGUGGCUGAGAAAAGUCGAUUGUGAAAGCCCUGGGCUUAACCUGGGAAUUGCAGUCGAAACUACUCGGCUAGAGUAUGGGAGAGGGUAGUGGAAUUCCCGGUGUAGCGGUGAAAAUGCGUAGAUAUCGGGGAGGAACAUCAGUGGCGAAGGCGGCUACCUGGCCCCAAUACUGACACUCAGGGUGCGACAGCGUGGGGGAGCAAACAGG
rnacentral:rRNA from 1 species